CAUGUUCACGGUCGUGAACUUCACAUCCGGAUACAACGCCAUCCUGGGAAGGACGGCGCUGCACGCUUUCCAGGCAGUAAUGUCGUCGCUCCACCAGUGCCUCAAGUUCCCAACCGAUGGAGGGGUUUGCACAGUCCGGGGGUCCUAGAAGAAGGCGCGCGAGUGCUACUUCAAUUCGGUCGGCGAAGUAAUGACGUCAGGCGAAGGCCUACCCCACUCGAUGCGGGAACACAUUGCAAGACCCGAGCUGGCAUCCCACACGACCCAAGUGGCCCUCGGUCAGAACGAGGUGCGAAUGGGAAG
rnacentral:lncRNA from 1 species